ACUACGGGUGGCAGCAGUAGGGAAUAUUGCUCAAUGGGGGAAACCCUGAAGCAGCAACGCCGCGUGGAGGAUGAAGGUUUUCGGAUUGUAAACUCCUUUUGUUAGAGAAGAUAAUGACGGUAUCUAACGAAUAAGCACCGGCUAACUCCGUGCCAGCAGCCGCGGUAAUACGGGGGGUGCAAGCGUUACUCGGCAUCACUGGGCGUAAAGAGCGCGUAGGCGGGAGAGCAAGUCAGAUGUGAAAUCCUAUGGCUUAACCAUAGAACUGCAUUUGAAACUGUUAUUCUGGAGUAUGGGAGAGGUAGGUGGAAUUCUUGGUGUAGGGGUAAAAUCCGUAGAGAUCAAGAGGAAUACUCAUUGCGAAGGCGACCUGCUAGAACAUAACUGACGCUGAUGCGCGAAAGCGUGGGGAGCAAACAGGAUUAGAUACCCUAGUAGUC
rnacentral:rRNA from 1 species